rnacentral:piRNA from 3 species
UAGGAGUUGGAAUAGGAGCUUGCUC